rnacentral:tRNA from 1 species
GGGUCGUUAGCUCAGUAGGUAGAGCUGUUGACUCUUAAUCAACAGGCCGUAGGUUCGAUUCCUACACGACCCA